GCGGCAUGCUUAACACAUGCAAGUCGCACGGAUCUUUCGGGAUCAGUGGCGGACGGGUGAGUAACGCGUAGGGAUCUAUCCAUGGGUGGGGGACAACUCCGGGAAACUGGAGCUAAUACCGCAUGAUACCUGAGGGUCAAAGGCGCAAGUCGCCUGUGGAGGAACCUGCGUUCGAUUAGCUAGUUGGUGGGGUAAAGGCCUACCAAGGCGAUGAUCGAUAGCUGGUUUGAGAGGAUGAUCAGCCACACUGGGACUGAGACACGGCCCAGACUCCUACGGGAGGCAGCAGUGGGGAAUAUUGGACAAUGGGCGAAAGCCUGAUCCAGCAAUGCCGCGUGUGUGAAGAAGGUCUUCGGAUUGUAAAGCACUUUCGACGGGGACGAUGAUGACGGUACCCGUAGAAGAAGCCCCGGCUAACUUCGUGCCAGCAGCCGCGGUAAUACGAAGGGGGCUAGCGUUGCUCGGAAUGACUGGGCGUAAAGGGCGCGUAGGCGGUUUAUGCAGUCAGAUGUGAAAUCCCCGGGCUUAACCUGGGAACUGCAUUUGAGACGCAUAGACUAGAGGUCGAGAGAGGGUUGUGGAAUUCCCAGU
rnacentral:rRNA from 1 species